rnacentral:rRNA from 1 species
GACAGCAGCCAUAUCAUCCAACUUAAAAUUGGCAACCCACUGAAGCUAAGCAGGUGUGAGCCUGGUCAGUACCUGGAUGGGAGACAUCCUGGGAAAAACUAAGGUUGCUGCUGGAA